rnacentral:ncRNA from 2 species
UACUCUGGCGGUGCAGCUGGUUCGCCCUGUCCGCCAGGCAGACGCGUCGUAAGAGGGAACCCGGUGGGAAUCCGGGACUGCCCCGCAGCGGUGAGUGGGAACGACCGCCGUCAUACGCACUGGAUCCGGUCGGAUCCGGGAAGCGACGGCCACUAGGAAUCUGCCCCCGGCAGAUGUGCCCACGAGUCCGAAGACCUGCCCGUUGCCCGCACGCGAC